GCCAAUCACACAGCAGAUACCAAACAUGGUCACGGGCACUGCAGCUGAUGUGCUUUGACGCCGUUUGUCACCACGUCUUCUCACUUCUAAUUAAAUGGUGGCCCCAUUAGAGAGAGACAAGUGCAAAUAUUUUGAGGAGACGUGGAAAAAGUGGAGAGAAUGCAAUUUUUGAACAAACUGCAAGAGAAUGCCAAAAAGAUGAUAGCGGACUGAAAGGCUGAGGAUAUAAUGGAAUUUUUGAAAUGUAGAAUGUAAGCCUGGAUUGAACUGAGAAGAAAUUUGGAAAGAGCUCCAUAAGAAGAUACUUGUGGCAGUGUCCAUUCAGUGGUGAACAGAGGAGCCUUCUGCAGCUGAAAUACAACACCUUGACCCCUCUUCCCCACAGAUGACCCCCAGCUAACGGGUCGGACACGUACAAACAUGCCACUGUGCGAGUUUGAGUGUGGCCAUCUCACCAACUCAUCAGAGCAGUUGUCCGUUCAAGCUAAGAGCAGAUACUGCCUUUUGUAUGAACUAUGAUCUUAAGCUUUGUUGUCCUGCUAUAUCGCUGUCUCUUGUUUGGAGUUUAAGAUAAGAUAAGUCCAAAAUUCAAGUUGCAGUGUAGCGUUACAUUUGAUCAUUUUAUUUUAUAAGGAGCAGCACUGAGGUGCUGUGUAAAACUCAUGAAUGUAGGUUUUUUUUUCUUACAAUAUUAGUAUUAAGUAUUAUUGUUAGAAUAUCCAUCUGUCCAUUCAUCCGUUUCUGAACGGCUUACAUGGAUCGAAAUUCGGACAAUCCCCGAAGAAGAUCUCAUCACACGCAAUAUUAAUUUGGUAGAUGUGUAAUGUUACAAUUACAUGGAAAACUCAUUUUCUUUUCUGUGCUUCUACAUACGACAUGAGUUUCUCCGUGCAAGGGAGAGGAAAAGAGUUGGAGGUAAUUAAGGUCAGGGAAACAGUGAGGGCAGCGUCAGUUAAGUUGGUUAAGUGGUUAAGGUACCAACGGCAGCAACACACACUUAUUCAGAGUAACUCAAUCUUGUCAUUACUCCCUGAAGAGCAGUGACAUGUGAGCCAGGGAAUAUGUGUGCGCGUGCUUGUGUGUGUGCCUAAUGCAUACACAUAACUGCAUAUGGACCCAUUUGCAAUACCGUAUUUUCCAGACUAUAAGGCGCACCUAAAGACCUCAAAUUUUCUCAAAGGUGCGCCUUAUAGUCCGGUGCGCCUUAUAUAUGGACCAAACACUUCAUUACAGGCACAAGCCCACAACCAACGUACAUCCAUACAAUGAGAUCCCGCUGACACUCCUGCCAAGCUUAAGAGAAAUGACUGCCACCUGAAGCGGAAACCUGUCUAUCAUGAGGAGGCCCUCCUAAAGCCCAACAGGUGUCCUUUAACAUGUCCAAAGCGCCCCCUCAGCACCAGGAACAGCCCUCCAACCCCCACCCCGAGGCCCAUUCAUCUGCCUCCGGUGGUGGAGGACAUCAAAACAAAACACCGAGCCCCGUUGAGGGAAAAAGGGGGGGGGGGGGGGGGGGGAAGCUCACAGCUCGGCAUGCACGUGACUUGUUGAGCAAGGAAUACAAGGAUUUUAAGAUUCAUACACACGGGUCCUCUAAAGUGGAACGGUCCAUAUGUGGGACAAUCCAGCCAAGAUAAGCCUCAGAUAUUCAACAAAACUUCAUCUCCCAAGGGCACCAGUGAUGGCCAAGGCUGAGAAAGCACCGAUAACUCGGGCACGACAAGGAUUUUUCAAGGCCGAUACUGAUAUUAAUGAUUU